AUUUGAUCGAUGGCCGGGAAAUGGUCGUGCCUCAUAUAUAUCCAAUAUAGAGUAUAGGUUUGAAUGAGUUUCUUAUACUAUUCAUUUAUUAUAAGAUAGAAUUGUUAAAAAAUGAAACAGUUUGAAAUUGCAGAUUUUAAUAGAUUGGAAAAAUCUAUUUUGCUUAGAUUAAGAUUUCUAAGGAAAACGUAGUGUUUUCGGUGGCAGGCAUAAUAGCGGUUUUACCGGAUAAAGUUCUAGAUGGUACACUGAUAAUGACAGUCUCCCAUCUAUAUGUCUUGACCAAAUUACGUGCCAGCAGUCGCGGUAAUACGUAGAAGACUAGUGUUAUUCAUCUUUAGUAGGUUUAAAGGGUACCUAGACGGUAUAAUUAGUCUUAAACAGGAUACGGUUAUGCUAGAGUUAUAUAUGAGGAGGUGAGUAUUUAUGGAGUAGAGUUGAAAUUCAUUGAUACCUUAACGACUGGUAAAGGCGAAAGCAACCUUUUAUCUAAUAACUGACGUUGAGGGACGAAGGCUUGGCACACGAACAGGAUUAGAUACCCUAGUAGUCCUUGCAGAGAAUGAUGAAUGCCAUAGGUUAGAUAGCAUUAUUUAGUCUAUAAAUGAAAGUGUAAGCAUUUCACCUCAAGAGUAAUGUGGCAACGCAGGAACUGAAAUCAUUAGACCGUUUCUGAAACCAGUAGUGAAGUAUGUUAUUUAAUUCGUAAAUACGCGAAAAACCUUACCACAAUUUGAAUAUUAUAAUUUUAAGGUAAGAAUAUUAAUUUAAUUUUCUUAUUCUUUUUUUUAUAUUACAAGCGUUGCACGGCUGUCUUCAGUUAAUGUCGUGAGAUAUUAGCAAUUCCAAUA
rnacentral:rRNA from 1 species